rnacentral:rRNA from 1 species
UAGGGAAUCUUCCGCAAUGGACGCAAGUCUGACGGAGCAACGCCGCGUGAGUGAAGGAGGAUUUCGGUUCGUAAAACUCUGUUGUUAGAGAAGAACAGCGCAUAGAGUAACUGUUAUGCGUGUGACGGUAUCUAACCAGAAAGCCACGGCUAACUACGUGCCAGCAGCCGCGGUAAUACGUAGGUGGCAAGCGUUGUCCGGAUUUAUUGGGCGUAAAGCGAGCGCAGGCGGUCAAUUAAGUCUGAUGUGAAAGCCCCCGGCUCAACCGGGGAGGGUCAUUGGAAACUGGUUGACUUGAGUGCAGAAGAGGAGAGUGGAAUUCCAUGUGUAGCGGUGAAAUGCGUAGAUAUAUGGAGGAACACCAGUGGCGAAGGCGACUCUCUGGUCUGUAACUGACGCUGAGGUUCGAAAGCGUGGGUAGCAAACAGG